GUGUCAGCCGCCGCGGUAAUACGUAGGUGGCAAGCGUUGUCCGGAUUUAUUGGGCGUAAAGGGUGCGUAGGCGGUUAUUUAAGUGAGAUGUGAAAUCCCCGGGCUUAACUUGGGGGCUGCAUUUGAAACUGGAUGUCUUGAGUGCAGAAGAGGAAAGUAGAAUUCCUAGUGUAGCGGUGAAAUGCGUAGAGAUUUGGAGGAAUACCAGUGGCGAAGGCGACUUUCUGGACUGUAACUGACGCUGAGGCGUGAAAGCGUGGGGAGCAAACAGGAUUAGAUACCCUGGUAGUCCACGCCGUAAACGAUGAGUGCUAAGUGUUGGGGGGAU
rnacentral:rRNA from 1 species